AUGGGGGGUUGGUUAGCAGAAUUCACCAAGCGUUGGAUUGUUCACCCACUAAUAGGGAGCUGGGUGAGCUGGGUUUAGACCGUCGUGAGACAGGUU
rnacentral:ncRNA from 1 species